GCCCCUGUAGCUCAGGAGGAUAGAGCAGCGGUUUCCUAAACCGCGUGCCAGGGUUCGAGUCCCUGCAGGGGUACCA
rnacentral:tRNA from 2 species